rnacentral:misc_RNA from 1 species
AGAAGGGCGCAAACAGUAUGCCAUGUAUGAUACUCUGUUCUUUGUUAUUAUACUGACAGACAUAGGUAUGCAGAGAAACAAAUACACAAGCACAGAUAUACACUGGGGUAGUUAGUGAAUUUGGCAACUUGAGUAUUGUCAUUGCUAGUGGUUAGGUUUUUUCCUCCUCAUAUUUCAACCAAAGAUAAUACAAUUUUAUCAUUGUGUACUUUUUUUAGUUAGCUACUGCACAUAUUAGAAUAUG